CACCGCGGUUAUACGAGAGGCCCAAGUUGACAGGUGCCGGCGUAAAGAGUGGUUAAGGGAAAAUAUCCAACUAAAGCCGAACACCUUCAGAGCUGUUAUACGUUCCCGAAGGCAUGAAGUCCCACCACGAAAGUGGCUUUACCCCCCCCCCCCGACCCCACGAAAGCUGUGAAA
rnacentral:rRNA from 1 species